rnacentral:lncRNA from 1 species
AAUUUCUCAAAAUGUUUGCACGACAGAACUACAUGUACAUAGUAUUUGUCCUGAGUUUUUGCAAUUAUUUUGUUUGGCGUAAAAUUUGAUUUUGCACUCAGACCACAUUUGGAGAAGUCUGGAUCAUCACACUUUUAGGUCUUUCAUUACCUUUACUGAUAAAAUACUUAACGUUAUGCAACAUAAGGUUUCGCAAUAAGCACACACAUCUCACAU